rnacentral:rRNA from 1 species
UACGAAGGGGGCUAGCGUUGCUCGGAAUUACUGGGCGUAAAGGGAGCGUAGGCGGACCGUUUAGUCAGAGGUGAAAGCCCAGGGCUCAACCUUGGAAUUGCCUUUGAUACUGGCAGUCUUGAGUACGGAAGAGGUAUGUGGAACUCCGAGUGUAGAGGUGAAAUUCGUAGAUAUUCGGAAGAACACCAGUGGCGAAGGCGACAUACUGGUCCGUUACUGACGCUGAGGCUCGAAAGCGUGGGGAGCAAACAGG